rnacentral:lncRNA from 1 species
CCCUCACUCAGCCGCUCUCGUUGCUCUCUACCUCUCUCACACGAAUCACACUCACCCACCCAUACCAAGUGAAGCAAUCAAGCAACAAAAAUAGCCGCCGGUAGCCACUGUCAUUAACUCACAGCGAACCGAUGAUUACAACCACCAUUGUUCAUCUAUCGUCGAUUGAGCUUGAGGGACACAGCCACGCGAGUGCAGCCCGCGACUCGGCAGCAACCCAGGAGCAUCAGCCGCGCAACGUAUUAGCAGCCACUCGAACCCACAGCAGUAG